AUUCCGGCGCUGCUCCUUCUGGCGCUCAUGGCGGGGCUGGCCGUGUAUCUCAUCCGGCGAUGCAUCCAAGGCGGCCGAUGCGGUUCGUGUUACCAGUCGCGCACCGUGAAGACGAUCCGACCGC